AUGAGUCAUUAAGCAGCAUCUAUACUAAAACUGGAAUAAUAUAGAGAGGAUUAGUAUUGCCCCUAUGCAAGGAUGAUACACAAAUUUGUGAAGCAUUCCGUAUUUUU
ensembl:snRNA U6 U6 spliceosomal RNA